rnacentral:rRNA from 1 species
AUUGAACGCUGGCGGCAGGCCUAACACAUGCAAGUCGAGCGAGCGGCGGACGGGUGAGUAAUGUAUGGGGACUGCCCGAUAGAGGGGGAUAACUACUGGAAACGGUGGCUACUCCCGCAUACUAUCGGAUAACCCAUAUGGGAUUAGCUAGUAGGGGGGGUAAAGGCUCCCCUAGUCGACGAUCUCUAGCUGGUCUGAGAGGAUGAUCAGCCCAACGGGGACUGAGAAACGGCCCAGACGCCGACGGAGGCAGAAGUGGGGAAAAUUGCACAAGGGGCGAAAGCCUGAUGCAGCCAUGCCGCGUGUAUGAAGAAGGCCUUAGGGUUGUAAAGUACUUUCAGCGGGGAGGCGUUACCCGCAGAAGAAGCACCGGCUAACUCCGUGCCAGCCGCCGCAGUAAUAC